rnacentral:lncRNA from 1 species
CAUGCAUGUAUAUCUAUGUAUCAAAAGUUUAACCCCUAUGCAUUUGUAGUGCUUUACCUUUUUCAAAAUACUUUCUUCAUAAUAACCCUAUAAAGAAAAGACCACUUGUGGGGAGGGCCCAAGAUCUCUUCCAUUAUAGCAUUAUUUGGGCUGGAAGAAGUCAGACCCCAAAUUCCCAAUCUCUUUCUUUUACUGGCUCUUAUUUUUCCAUUUAUAAAAUGACAGGAUAGGAAUAAACCAGAAGUUUUCAAAGUAUGGCCCAAGAACCUCUGGAGGUCCCCGACACCUUCAAGGAGUCUGGAAACGGAGCAGCUCUGACCUCCAGGGAACACGUUGUCAUGGCGACAGCAAGCUAUUAUUUUCCAAAGGCCAAGCUACCAGAACUCCGCCCCCUCCUCCCACCUCCUCAUGUACGUCUUGUUAUUGCAGUGUUCCAAAAUAAACUUGCUGCUUAAUCGUAAAUCCCAUAUAAUUACGGAUGAGCUAAUCAUUAU